GCACUGACGCUCAUGCACGAAAGCGUGGGGAGCAAACAGGGUUAGAUACCCUGGUAGUCCACGCCCUAAACGAUGUCAACUGGUUGUUGGGAAUUCACUUUCUCAGUAACGAGGCUAACGCGUGAAGUUGACCGCCUGGGGAGUACGGCCGCAAGGUUAAAACUCAAAGGAAUUGACGGGGACCCGCACAAGCGGUGGAUGAUGUGGUUUAAUUCGAUGCAACGCGAAAAACCUUACCCACCUUUGACAUGUACGGAAGAUCGCAGAGACGCGAUUGUGCUCGAAAGAGAGCCGUAACACAGGUGCUGCAUGGCUGUCGUCAGCUCGUGUCGUGAGAUGUUGGGUUAAGUCCCGCAACGAGCGCAACCCUUGUCAUUAGUUGCUACAUUCAGUUGGGCACUCUAAUGAGACUGCCGGUGACAAACCGGGGGAAGGUGGGGAUGACGUCAAGUCCUCAUGGCCCUGAUAGGUGGGGCUACACACGUCAUACAAUGGCUGGUACAAAGGGUUGCCAACCCGCGAGGGGGAGCCAAUCCCACAAAGCCAGUCGUAGUCCGGAUCGUAGUCUGCAACUCGACUACGUGAUGUCGGAAUCGCUAGUAAUCGUGGAUCAGAAUGUCACGGUGAAUACGUACCCGGGUCUUGUACACACCGCCCGUCACACCAUGGGAGCGGGUCUGCCAGAAGUAGGUAGCCUAACCGUAAGGAGGGCGCUACCACGGCA
rnacentral:rRNA from 1 species